rnacentral:misc_RNA from 1 species
GGAGGUGUCGGCGGUGGUUUCGGUGUAUCUCGUCUUGCGAUGGUAACGACGCAUGAGUGGUGAUUAGGAUAUGUUUCCCAUGCAGGCUCCAUGUAUCUGGCAUCGAACUGCUUGGGUCUAUCUAUUUCAUUUGUGGGUUCGCCUCGGCGUUUUCAUGGUCGGUCGCGACUACUUGUUGGGUUCCUGUGCUUGGUACUGAAUUUUGAAGUUGGAUGGAUUNUUGUUCCCCGUCAUGGUUUUUUGAUCCCCCCCC